rnacentral:rRNA from 1 species
AGCACUUCGGUGCGAGUACAGCGGCGGACGGGUGAGUAACGCGUAGGAAUCUACCUAGUAGUGGGGGAUAGCCAUUGGAAACGAUGAUUAAUACCGCAUAUAUCCUACGGGGGAAAGCAGGGGACCUUCGGGCCUUGCGCUAUUCGAUGAGCCUGAGUGAGAUUAGCUAGUUGGUGGGGUAAAGGCCUACCAAGGCGACGAUCUCUAGCUGGUCUGAGAGGAUGAUCAGCCACACUGGGACUGAGACACGGCCCAGACUCCUACGGGAGGCAGCAGUGGGGAAUAUUGCACAAUGGACGAAAGUCUGAUGCAGCCAUGCCGCGUGUGUGAAGAAGGCCUUCGGGUUGUAAAGCACUUUCAGCGAGGAGGAAAGGUUAGUCGUUAAUAUCGGCUAGCUGUGACGUUACUCGCAGAAGAAGCACCGGCUAAUUUAGUGCCAGCAGCCGCGGUAAUACUAAAGGUGCAAGCGUUAAUCGGAAUUACUGGGCGUAAAGCGCGCGUAGGUGGUUUGUUAAGUUGGAUGUGAAAGCCCAGGGCUCAACCUUGGAACUGCAUUCAAAACUGACUCACUAGAGUACGAGAGAGGUUAGUGGAAUUUCCUGUGUAGCGGUGA